GGGGUUGUGGCUCACAGGUAGAGUGUUUGCCUAGCAUGCAUGAGGCACUGAGUUCGAUCCUCAGCACCA
rnacentral:tRNA from 1 species